UACGGAGGGUGCUAACGCUGCCCGGAAUUACUGGCCGUAAUGCGUGCGCAUGCGGUUUCCUAGGACUCAUGUGAAAUCCCCGGGCUCAACCUGGGAACUGCUUUUGUGACUGCCACGCUAGAGUGCAUUCGAGGGGGGUAGAAUUCCACGUGGAGCAGUGAGAUGCGUACAGAUGUGGAGGAAUACCGAUGGUUAAGGCCGCCCCCUGCUCUAUCACUGACGCUCAUGCACGAAAGCGUGGGGAGCAAACAGGAUUAGAUACCCCGGUAGUCCACGCCCUAAACGAUGUCAACUAGGUGUUGGGGAAGGAGACUUCUCUAGUACCGCAGCUAACCCGUGAACUUGACCGCCUGGGGAGUACGGUCGCAAGAUUAAAACUCAAAGGAAUCGACGGGGACCCGCCCAAGCGGUGGAUGUAUGUGGAUUAAUUCGAUGCAACGCGAAACACCUUACCUCCCCUUGACAUGUCAGGAAGAUCGCAGAGAUGUGAUUGUGCCCGAAAGGGAACCUGCACACAGGUGCUGCAUGGCUGUCGUCAGCUCGCGUCGUGAGAUGUUGGGGUAAGUCCCCCAACGAGCGCAACCCUUGUCAUUACUGGCCAUCAAUUAGUUGGGCACUCUAAUGAGACCGCCGGUGAUAAUCCGGAGGAAGGUGGGGAUGACGUCAAGUCCUCAUGGCCCUUAUCGGUAGGGCUUCACACGUAAUACACUGGUCGGUACAGAGGGUAGUCAUCCCGCGAGGGGGAGCCCAUUCCAGAAAGCCGAUCGUAGUCCGGAUUGUUGUCUGCAACUCGAGAGCAUGAAGUCGGAAUCGGUAGUAAUCGCGGACCAGCAUGUCGCGGAGAAUUCGUUCCCGGGUUU
rnacentral:rRNA from 1 species